UUCCGGUUGAUCCUGCCGGACCUGACUGCUAUCGGAUUGAUACUAAGCCAUGCGAGUCAUUGUAGCAAUACAAGGCAUACGGCUCAGUAACGCGUAGUCAACCUACCCUAUGGACGGAAAUAACCUCGGGAAACUGAGAAUAAUAUCCGAUAGAACAUUAUGCCUGGAAUGGUUUAUGUUCCAAAUGAUUUAUCGCCGUAGGAUGGGACUGCGGCCUAUCAGUUUGUUGGUGAGGUAAUGGCCCACCAAGACUAUUACAGGUACGGGCUCUGAGAGGAGUAGCCCGGAGAUGGGUACUGAGACACGGGCCCAGGCCCUAUGGGGCGCAGCAGGCGAGAAAACUUUGCAAUGUGCGAAAGCACGACAAGGUUAAUCCGAGUGAUUUCUGCUAAAGAAAUCUUUUGUUAGUCCUAGAAACACUAACGAAUAAGGGGUGGGCAAGUUCUGGUGUCAGCCGCCGCGGUAAACCAGCACCUCAAGUGGUCAGGAUGAUUAUUGGGCCUAAAGCAUCCGUAGCCGGCUCUGUAAGUCCUCGGUUAAAUCUGUACGCUUAACGUACAGGCUGCCGGGAAUACUGCAUAGCUAGGGAGUGGGAGAGGUAGACGGUACUCGGUAGGAAGGGGUAAAAUCCUUUGAUCUAUUGAUGACCACCUGUGGCGAAGGCGGUCUACCAGAACACGUCCGACGGUGAGGGAUGAAAGCUGGGGGAGCAAACCGGAUUAGAUACCCGGGUAGUCCCAGCUGUAAACUAUGCAAACUCAGUGAUGCAUUGGCUUGUGGCCAAUGCAGUGCUGCAGGGAAGCCGUUAAGUUUGCCGCCUGGGAAGUACGUACGCAAGUAUGAAACUUAAAGGAAUUGGCGGGGGAGCACCACAA
rnacentral:rRNA from 2 species